rnacentral:lncRNA from 1 species
UCGCCGCUUUCUCUCCUAUUCUCCCUGUAAACCCUAACCAAAAACUUCAUCGCCGCUUUCAUAUGCCGACCAUGAUUCAUCGCCGCUGAUGCUUUCUGAUUAUCCUCUGCUUUGAUUUCAAUCUUCCGUUUAAGGUGAUUGUCAAUUUCAAUUCAACAACCGAUUAAAGGCUUCCAAUGGAGUCUGCAAAUAUCAGAGAUGUAUUGACGAGAUGUAUUGACUUCCUAAAGUGAGGUCGCUUGAUGGAGAAUGGAAGGUCACGCUUGGAGAGUCAAUAAUAAAAACCAAAGAAAGCUCAUUUAUAGAGCUAAAAGGAUUAUGGAUAGGGGUGUAAACGAGUCGGCCAGAGCCUGACUUAAUUGAACUUUAUAUUGAGUCUAAAAUGUGGGGUGAUAGCCAUCGGUAACUAGGAUCUGGUGAGUAUAUUCAGGUGAGUGGGAGAGCUGGACGCCGUGACAAAGAUGAACGUGAUAUUAGUAUUAUAAUGAUUGAUGAACAAAUGAUUACUCUAUAAAGGACAUGGUGCUAGGGAAACGAGCUCCACUGGUCAGUCCUUUUAGCCUAAGCCCUGAGCCAAGUUAUCUACCUUGGGUUGUUAUAGAGUCGAAACAAACCCAAUAGAUGAGGCUGAUUGAAUAAGUGGAUAUUGAGGUUAUGUGGUCCUGCUUGGAUAACAGGAUUCUAUUUGUGAGGGCGCACGUUGAGUUUUGGACUUUGAAGAAUUGAAUCUAUCUUUGAGCAUGAUGUUUUAGAUAGGUAACUCUUUCUAAUGCAGGUACUACUCAAUGUAUAAACAUAUAGAGAGAAGUUAGAUGAAGAAAUAAAAAAAGAGCUGCAUCUUGCAUCUGCUGAAGGGGUUGAAGCCAAAUUAUUGUUGAUUCCAGAAGCACUGAAUGAAGAGGUGCUUGAGAAAAUGACUGCGCCAACAAAGAGCGACGUACCAAUAAUUAUAAGAAAUGAACUCUUUGAAGGGAAAUGUUUUCGGGUUUCCAACAAGAUUCAGUAUGAUGUCUGAUUAUACUUUAAUAUUAUAAUUUUUGAAUUGUAAAAAGGGAGUGCAAGUUAAUCAUAUAAUUUUUCAGUCCAAGAUGAUCUUGAACAAAGUUUUGAACUGUAAAUAAAAAGAGAUAGUUGACAUUGUACUCAUUUUACAUUGGUCUCUCUC